rnacentral:lncRNA from 1 species
GCUACCAUAUUUUACAGUGCAAGGCUAGCCACAGUCAUUUAUAGCCGUUAUUCCAUCCUGGGGAGUUUGCACUUUAUCAUAGGCAGGUGGCAAUGGGGGAAGAAUGAAGAUGAUGGCAACACAGAAGAGAAUCAGAAUAAUUAAAUUUGCUUUUUGGAAAGUUCACCUGCUGCUGCAGCUGUAUGGAGGAUGAACUGGGAUGAGUGAAGAAAGCUUGGAAAUUGGCAGACCAUGGGGUGACCAUGGCAGUUGCCCAGGAGAGAACUUGGAAGCUAGGAUAAGGUUGCAGCAAUGAGGAUGAAGAGGAGAAUGGAGCUGAAGGAUGCUACCACCAGACUACUACUCCUCGCUUCAUGGUCCCAGUUGAUGCUGGACAGCCUCCACUCUGGUUCUCGAUGUAAAGCUCUGACUUCUGGGCUCUGUCAAGACCACAACCUUCAUUGUCCCUCCAGGCCUAAAGGCAAUACCUUUUUCCUGCUGUUGUUGGUCCUUGGAUUGACUCACUAUUCCCCAUUUGGCUCUUCAGUUAUCAUCUUUACAAAUUCCAACACUGAAUUUC